UUACUCCUAGAUGACUGAAGUGAGGUGAAGUCUGCCUGCCAUGACUUCGAUGCUCUACACACACAGAUCCCACAGAGGGGGUCCUGAGGUGCAGGGAACACCACGAGAAGUUGAUAGCGAGCACAGCCCUCACACAGGGAACUCUGAGAUCUGGGUAUCACUGCAAGUAAUAACCACAGGAGCAUUCAGAGGUGUUAAAUGCAAGUAUAUUUCAUCCAUGCCACUGGAACCAACCCACCAGAAGAGGAGUUCAGCUAAUGGAAAAGCUGCGUUUCAUAAUGGAGAAAAAGAUUUUUAUUCAACUUUUAGGGCUCAUCCGUUUUCCAUCUCCUUUUCACAA